rnacentral:rRNA from 1 species
ACAGGUGGUGCAUGGUUGUCGUCAGCUCGUGUCGUGAGAUGUUGGGUUAAGUCCCGCAACGAGCGCAACCCUUAUCCUUAGUAGCCAGCAGGUAAAGCUGGGCACUCUAGGGAGACUGCCAGGGAUAACCUGGAGGAAGGUGGGGAUGACGUCAAAUCAUCAUGCCCCUUAUGAUUUGGGCUACACACGUGCUACAAUGGCGUAAACAAAGGGAAGCAAGACAGUGAUGUGGAGCAAAUCCCAAAAAUAACGUCCCAGUUCGGACUGUAGUCUGCAACCCGACUACACGAAGCUGGAAUCGCUAGUAAUCGCGAAUCAGAAUGUCGCGGUGAAUACGUUCCCGGGUUG